GUUGCUCGGAAUUCCCUGGGCGUAAAAGGAUGCGUAGCGGGGUCUUUUAAGUCAGAUGGUGGAAAUCCUGGAGCUCAACUCCAGAACUCCCUUUGAUACUGAAGAUCUUGAGUUCUGGAGGAGGUGAGUGGAACUGCGAGUGUAGAGGUGAAAAUUCGUAGAUAUUCGCAAGAACACCAGUGGCGAAGGCGGCUCACUGGCCCGAUACUGACGCUGAUGGCACGAAAGCGUGGGGAAGCAAACAGGAUUAGAUACCCUGGUAGUUCACGCCGUAAACGAUGAAUGCCAGCCGUUGGGGAGUUUACUCCUCAGUGACGCAGCUAACGCUUUAAGCAUUCCGCCUGGGGAGUACGGUCGCAAGAUUAAAACUCAAAGGAAUAGACGGGGGCCCGCACAAGCGGUCGAGCAUGUGGUUUAAUUUGUUGCAACGCGCAGAACCUUCCAGCCCUUGACACGUCUAUGACCGGUACCAGAGAUGGAACCUUUCCUUCGGGGCAUAGAGCACAGGUGCUGCAUGGCUGUCGUCAGCUCGUGUCGUGAGAUGUUGGGUUAAGUCCCGCAACGAGCGCAACCCCCGUCCUUAGUUGCUACCAUUUAGUUGAGCACUCUAAGGAGACUGCCGGUGAUAAGCCGCGAGGAAGGUGGGGAUGACGUCAAGUCCUCAUGGCCCUUACGGGCUGGGCUACACACGUGCUACAAUGGCGGUGACAAUGGGACGCUAAGGGGCAACCCUUCGCAAAUCUCAAAAAGCCGUCUCAGUUCGGAUUGGGCUCUGCAACUCGAGCCCAUGAAGUUGGAAUCGCUAGUAAUCGUGGAUCAGCAUGCCACGGUGAAUACGUUCCCGGGCUUGCACACACCGCCCGUC
rnacentral:rRNA from 1 species